CAGUAGCCACGGGAAUACGUAGGUGGCAAGCGUUGUCCGGAGUUAUUGGGCGUAAGGGCUCGCAGGCGGUUUCUUAAGUCUGAUGUGAAAGCCCCCGGCUCAACCGGGGAACUGCAUUUGGGACUGGUUUGCUAGAGAUCGGGAGAGGAGAGUGGAAUUCCCAGUGUAGAGGUGAAAUUCGUAGAUAUUGGGAAGAACACCGGUGGCGAAGGCGGCUCUCUGGACCGAUACUGACGCUGAGGCGCGAAAGCGUGGGGAGCAAACAGGAUUAGAUACCCCAGUAGUCCCUGUCUCUUAUACA
rnacentral:rRNA from 1 species